rnacentral:rRNA from 1 species
AUGGUGGGGAACGACUGGAUCAACAGCUACCUGGAGGCCAUCCUCGACGCGGGCGGCGCCGCGGGGGACAUCACGGCCGCCUCCGUCGCCUCCGCGGCGCCCGGGGGCGGCGCGGGCUCCGCGGCGGCGGAGAAGAGGCGGGACAAGGCGUCGCUGAUGCUGCGGGAGCGCGGCCGCUUCAACCCGGCGCGCUACUUCGUGGAGGAGGUCAUCUCCGGCUUCGACGAGACCGACCUCUACAAGACCUGGGUCCGCACGUCGGCGAUGAGGAGCCCGCAGGAGCGCAACACGCGGCUGGAGAACAUGUCCUGGCGGAUCUGGAACCUCGCCAGGAAGAAGAAGCAGAUUGAAGGUGAGGAAGCCUCCCGUUCAUCGAAGAAACGUCUUGAGCGUGAGAAGGCCCGUCGGGAUGCUGCUGCUGAUUUGUCUGAGGACCUAUCUGACGGAGAAAAAGGAGAACAUAUUAAUGAAUCAUCUAUUCACGCUGAGAGUACAAGGGGACACAUGCCAAGGAUAGGUUCAACUGAUGCUAUUGAUGUUUGGGCAAAUCAGCACAAAGAUAAAAAACUGUACAUAGUGCUAAUAAGCAUUCAUGGUCUUAUACGUGGUGAGAAUAUGGAGCUUGGACGUGAUUCAGAUACAGGCGGUCAGGUCAAAUAUGUUGUAGAGCUUGCUAGGGCGUUAGGUGAAACACCUGGAGUAUAUAGAGUGGAUUUGCUGACAAGGCAGAUUUCUGCACCUGAUGUUGAUUGGAGUUAUGGGGAACCUACAGAGAUGCUGAGUCCAAGAAAUUCAGAGAAUCUUGGGGAUGACAUGGGUGAAAGCAGUGGUGCUUAUAUUGUCAGGAUACCAUUUGGGCCAAGAGAAAAGUAUAUCCCUAAAGAGCAGCUCUGGCCCCACAUCCAGGAAUUUGUUGACGGUGCACUUGUCCAUAUCAUGCAGAUGUCCAAGGUUCUCGGAGAACAAGUUGGCAAUGGCCAACCAGUAUGGCCUGUUGUUAUCCAUGGACACUAUGCUGAUGCAGGCGAUUCUGCUGCUUUAUUAUCUGGGGCACUCAAUGUGCCAAUGGUUUUCACAGGUCAUUCUCUUGGCAGAGACAAGUUAGAGCAACUUUUAAAGCAAGGGCGUCAAACCAGGGAUGAAAUAGACGCAACAUACAAGAUAAUGCGUCGGAUUGAGGCUGAGGAACUUUGUCUUGAUGCAUCUGAAAUUGUAAUCACAAGCACUAGGCAAGAGAUAGAUAAACAAUGGGGAUUAUAUAAUGGAUUUGAUGUAAUUAUGGAGAGGAAACUUAGAGCAAGAAUAAAGCGUGGUGUUAGCUGCUACGGUCGUGAAAUGCCUCGUAUGAUUCCAAUUCCUCCCGGUAUGGAGUUCAGCCAUAUAGUGCCUCAUGAUGUUGAUCUUGAUAGUGAAGAAGCGAAUGAAGUUGGCUCAGAUUCACCAGAUCCACCUGUUUGGGCCGAUAUAAUGCGCUUCUUCUCGAACCCUCGCAAGCCCAUGAUUCUCGCUCUUGCUCGUCCAGAUCCCAAGAAGAACAUCACUACGCUGGUUAAGGCAUUUGGUGAACACCAUGAGCUAAGAAAUUUAGCAAACCUUACAUUGAUCAUGGGUAACCGUGAUGUUAUUGAUGAAAUGUCAAGCACAAAUGGAGCUGUUUUGACAUCAGUACUCAAGUUAAUUGACAAGUAUGAUCUAUAUGGGCAAGUGGCAUACCCCAAGCACCAUAAGCAAUCUGAAGUUCCAGAUAUUUAUCGUUUAGCGGCAAGAACAAAGGGGGUGUUUAUUAACUGUGCUUAUAUUGAACCAUUUGGGCUCACCUUGAUCGAGGCUGCUGCUUAUGGUCUACCUAUGGUUGCUACCCAAAAUGGUGGACCUGUCGAUAUACACCGGGUUCUUGACAAUGGCAUUCUUGUUGAUCCCCACAAUCAAAAUGAUAUAGCUGAGGCACUUUAUAGACUUGUUUCUGAUAAGCAAUUGUGGGCAAAAUGCCGUCAGAAUGGUCUGGAUAAUAUCCAUCGAUUUUCUUGGCCUGAACAUUGCAAAAACUAUUUGUCACGGGUUGGUACGCUCAAGUCUAGACAUCCACGAUGGCAAAAGAGCGAUGAUGCUACUGAAGUUUCUGAAACAGAUUCACCUGGUGACUCUUUGAGGGAUAUUCAUGAUAUAUCACUUAACUUGAAGAUUUCCUUGGACAGUGAAAAAUCAGGCAACAUGUCGAAAUAUGGAAGGAGUUCAACCAGUGAUAGGAGAAACCUUGAGGAUGCUGUACAAAAGUUUUCAGAAGCUGUUAGUGCUGGCACAAAGGAUGAGUCUGGUGAGAAAGCUGAGGCCACCACAGGCUCCAAUAAAUGGCCAUCUCUGCGAAGGAGAAAGCACAUUGUUGUUAUUGCUGUAGAUUCUGUGCAAGAUGCCGACUUGGUUCAGAUUAUCAAAAACAUUUUUCAGGCUUCAAACAAAGAAAAAUCAUCUGGUGCUCUUGGUUUUGUAUUGUCAACAUCUCGAGCAGCAUCAGAGAUACAUCCUUUGUUAACAUCUGGGGGCAUAGAAAUUACUGAUUUUGAUGCCUUCAUAUGUAGCAGUGGCAGUGAUCUUUGCUAUCCAUCUUCAAAUUCAGAAGACAUGCUUAGCCCUGCCGAGCUUCCAUUUAUGAUCGAUCUUGAUUAUCACUCUCAGAUUCAAUAUCGUUGGGGAGGAGAAGGUUUAAGGAAGACACUAAUUCGUUGGGCAGCAGAAAAGAACAGCGAGAGUGGACAAGAAGCAGUUGUCGAAGAUGACGAAUGUUCAUCCACUUACUGCAUUUCAUUUAAAGUGAAGAAUACUGAGGCUGUCCCUCCUGUGAAGGAUCUUAGGAAGACAAUGAGAAUUCAAGCAUUGCGCUGUCAUGUAUUGUACAGCCAUGAUGGCAGCAAGUUGAACUUCAUACCUGUUCUAGCAUCACGAUCCCAAGCACUAAGGUACUUGUAUAUAAGGUGGGGUGUAGAGCUGUCGAACAUGACGGUGGUUGUCGGUGAAAGCGGCGAUACAGAUUAUGAAGGGCUGCUCGGAGGCGUGCAGAAGACCAUCGUACUCAAAGGCUCGUUUAAUUCUGCGCCAAACCAGCUUCAUGCCGCCAGAAGCUAUUCGCUAGAGGAUGUCGUAUCGUUCGACAAGCCAGGAAUUGCUUCCGUCGACGGUUAUGCCCCAGAUAACCUGAAAUCAGCUCUACAACAAUUUGGUGCCCUGGAGGGCUAG